GCCACGGCAAUGCUCCAGCAGCUGCAGCUGGCGGUGCAGACUUUCUGCGACACCGACUCAAGGGCCGCCACCACGACGGUGGCCCUCACCUACACGGACGUGGCGGCAAGGGCCAAGGAGGAACAAGGAGAGAAGAGCAAGGUGGAGGAAGGGAGGGAGGAGGAAGAGGGGGAGCAGAAGGAGAGUGGAGGCUGCGUAGAAGUGGAAGAGGUAUUAGCUGAGACAGACACGGAAAGGAGGGAGGAAGGAGGGGAAGAGAAAAAAGAAGAAGAAGCUGACGUGCAGCUGACGGGCACAGAGAGGGAGCCGCCCUAUCCGCUGGGCUGGGAGGAGCCGGUGGCCCGGCUCAGGUGUGCUGAACACCUCGUCUACUUCAGCAACUGUGAGGAGUGCCUCAGCGGUAUGACUGCCCAGGAGCGGCAAAGGCGCCUGCAGGAGCGGCGGGACCGUAUCAGCGAGCGACGUGUCGAGCGGCGGGAACGACUGCAGCAGCUCAACGGCGAUGGCAAGACGAAGAAGCGUAAGGGACGCAGGGCCCGGCGGCUACAGGCCAAGGCGGAGGAGGAGCUUUCUCGGCGGCCUCGCAAGAUCAGGUUCAACCUGAAGGACGUCCCCAAACCCGUCAAGGACCGGGAGUUCCUGUACCGCCUCUACCAGUCCAGGAAAGGCGGCAUGGUGCAGCAGUGGCGCAACCGCCUCGCCGCCCUCAACAACAGCGAGGCGGCGUGGCGGCAGGAGUUGGAAGCCCUGGCGGCCAAGCGAGGCUGGCGGGCCGAGGGCCUCGAGUACACGGAGCGGAGUGUGCAGGAGGAGGAGUGGGGAGCAGAGGCCAAGGACGAACAUGGAGAGAAGGGAGGGAGGGAGUGCUUGGAAGGAAAGGGUGAGGAGGGGGUGGAAGAAAGGAAGGAGGAGGAACAGGGUGAAGAAGGGAGGGUGGAGGAAGAGAGGGUGGAGAAGGAACAGGGGGAAGGGAAGGUGAAGGGAGUGAUGAAGGGUAAGGAGGAACAGAGAGAGGAAUGAAGGAGGAGAAAGAGAGGGACGAGAAGGAAGAGGGAGAGGAAGGGAAGGUGAAGGGAGUGAUGAAGGGAUAAGGAGGAAGAGGCAGAGGAGAGGAAGGUGAAGGGAGGGAUGAGGGGGUAAGGAGGAAGAGGCAGAGGAGAGGAAGGUGAAGGGAGGGAUGAAGGGAUAAGGAGGAAGAGGCAGAGGAGAGGAAGGUGAAGGGAGGGAUGAAGGGAUAAGGAGGAACAGGGAGAGGAGAGGAAGGUGAAGGGAGGGAUGAAGGGUAAGGAGGAAGAGGCAAAGAAGAGGAAGGAGGAGGAAGAGAGGGAAGAAAAGGAAGAGAGCAAGGGAAGGUGAAGGAGAGAGGGAGGAGGUGGGGGCACCGUCGUCGUCUGGGCCCGGGCGAUUUGAGGCCCGGGAGGUGAGUGUUUGUUUUCCAGCGACAGACGCAACACUAGCACCGGCAGCAGCAGCGGUACGUCAGCGGGGCAGGCGGGGGCGCGGCGCGGGGCGGAGUUACGAGGCUUUUCUUUACUUUUCGUUUUGUCCUAAAAAAAAAAAUAAUCCACAAAAAUCCGAAAACAAAAAAAUCUAAAAAAAAAAUCAACAACACCAAAACAAAACCAAAAAAAA